rnacentral:rRNA from 1 species
GACGAACGCUGGCGGCGUGCUUAACACAUGCAAGUCGAACGGAAAGGCCCUUUCGGGGGUACUCGAGUGGCGAACGGGUGAGUAACACGUGGGUGAUCUGCCCUGCACUUCGGGAUAAGCUUGGGAAACUGGGUCUAAUACCGGAUAGGACUACGAAUCGCAUGGUUUGUGGUGGAAAGCUUUUGCGGUGUGGGAUGGGCCCGCGGCCUAUCAGCUUGUUGGUGGGGUGAUGGCCUACCAAGGCGACGACGGGUAGCCGGCCUGAGAGGGUGUCCGGCCACACUGGGACUGAGAUACGGCCCAGACUCCUACGGGAGGCAGCAGUGGGGAAUAUUGCACAAUGGGCGCAAGCCUGAUGCAGCGACGCCGCGUGGGGGAUGACGGCCUUCGGGUUGUAAACCUCUUUCACCAUCGGCGAAGCCGGGAGCUUUUGUUUCUGG